rnacentral:lncRNA from 10 species
AGGUUUUGGUAUCAGGAUGAUGCUGGUUUGGUAGAAUGAUUAAGGAAAGAAGCCUUCCUCCCUAAUUUUUUGGAAUAGUUUCAGUAGUAUUGGUACUAGCUCUUUGUUUAUCUGGUAGAAUUCAGCUGUGAAUUUUUCUGCUCAAGGACUCUCUCUGAUGUACUUGCUUCCUCUUUGCCUUUCAUCAUGAUUGUAAGUUUCCUGAGGUCUCCCAGCCAUGCUUCCUGUACAGCCUACAGAACUGUAAGUCAAUUAAACCUCUUUUCUACAUAAAUUACCCAGUCUCAGGUAGCUCUUUAUAGCAGUGUGAGAACGGACUAAUGCAUUCAGUGAACUUAAAACAGAAUUACCAUUAAACUCA